rnacentral:rRNA from 1 species
UACAGAGGGUGCGAGCGUUGUUCGGAAUUAUUGGGCGUAAAGGGCGCGUAGGCGGUGCGGUAAGUCACCUGUGAAAUCCCCGGGCUUAACCUGGGAACUGCAUUUGUGACUGCACGGCUGGAGUGCGGCAGAGGGGGAUGGAAUUCCGCGUGUAGCAGUGAAAUGCGUAGAUAUGUGGAGGAACACCGAUGGCGAAGGCAGCCCCCUGGGUCAACACUGACGCUCAUGCACGAAAGCGUGGGGAGCAAACAGG